rnacentral:rRNA from 1 species
UACGGAGGGUGCGAGCGUUGUCCGGAAUCACUGGGCGUAAAGGGCGCGUAGGUGGCUUGGCAAGCGUGCGGUGAAAGUUCGGGGCUCAACCCCGAAUCGGCCGUGUGAACUGCCAGGCUUGAGCACUGUAGAGGCAGAUGGAAUUCCGGGUGUAGCGGUGGAAUGCGUAGAGAUCCGGAAGAACACCGGUGGCGAAGGCGGUCUGACU